CUUCCGCAGUGGGCAAGCACUGAUGCCACUGAAGACAUUCUCCCGGGUGAUCAAGGACACACCAGCCCCGUCUAAACGAGAGAGCACAAAUUGUCCUCCUCUCCAAAGUGUGCCCGUGGGGAGAACAGAUCUAAGCCUUGUGCUGAGACGGAAAAAGAAGUUUACCUGAAGAGGUUGGGAGCCCACACAAUCGCUAAGUUCUUAGCGGGCAUGUUUGUGAUGGAGCAGCUCCCAGCGAGACAAGCCAAGUGUCUCAGCAGGUACUCCAGCGUCCUGGAAAGCAAGAGCCAAACCUUCAGCACCACUGAGCACGCCGUGCUCACAUUCACCAAACAAACCUCACUUCAUGCCACUGCUUGUUCUUGCUUCGGAAUAGCAAGUAGAUCAAGCUUUCCCAAGUGCCACGCUGCAGCACCAAGCCCCAGCACAAUACAGCUGCACCCAUCAGCUGCACCAGCCGUGCCCCCGUGCCCAGGAGCUGACCCAAUCCAUUCACCCCACGAAGCCAUCCAGCACUUCCACACACACAGGCAUCACGUUGCCAGCGUGAGACAAAGCCUGCCAUCGCAUCAUCACCCUCUGAAGUGCAGCAGGGCUGAGCUCCCCACACCGAGGGCAGCAGUUUUCUGACCUGUAGUGAGGUGCAGGCAGCUGCUGGAUGACCUCCUGCACUCGGAGCAACCGCUCCUCAUCGGUACCGGCAC
ensembl:lncRNA